UUGACAAGGUGGGUCUCAGGGUGGGAGCAGUAAUUAUUUGAAAUCACAGGCAAAUAUUGCUCAGUCUUUUCUAAUAUUUUAAAUUCCUAAGGGUAUAGUUAAUCUGUAGGUGCUGCCAUGUCACAUGUGUUUUUUCUCUAAUUUUAGAAAUGUUAGUGUACACAGUCUGAAAAACUAUGUUGACAAUACAGCUACAUGUAGUGGUAAAUGGAGAUAGACUCUUAACAAGGCUCAGGUUUUGUAGCCAUAUGUUCAAGAUAUGAGAAGCAAAAUAUGUAUUGUGUAGGAGCAGCUCUAUUCCCAUAGCUGUGGGUGUACCAGUGUGUGCAGCAGCCAGAUAACUAUCCUGCAAAACACUCUGCAAAGGGCAGUGCCUGUAUCUAAUCCCAGAUCAGCAGCUCUGCUUCCUCCCAAGGGUGCAUCGUCCUGCAGCCUACCCAGUAAGGCCUUGCAGCUUUUUUGUCUGUUUUGUUGCUUAGUUGAGUUUUUCUUUUUGAAGGAAGGAUUUUGUUCACCUCUUAUUACCAUGCAGUGAAUAAGAUCACCUGGAAUUAACACUUGGAAGAAUAUUUGACAAACAUCACCUCAGAAAUUCAGUUCUCCUGACACUGUGGGCCACAGGCACACCAGAUAUAAAUAUGCCAAAGCGGUUCUUCCAUUAACCUCACAUCACCAGUCUGUUUUUUUGGGCUGUCUGAGUAUGAAAUAUUGAUUGGGAAAUACACUGUACCUGGGGAUUUGAACUAUGAAACUAUUUCAGACAGCUCUCUCAUUCUUUUUGACUAAAAAUUUUAUUCUGGACCUGAGCAACCAUUUCUUCCUCAAUAUUUUAGCAAACGUAAAACCAUUCCCAUCAAAGUUUCCAUUACCAUAAAUUAACAAUUUUUUUUCUGUUGUGGAAUGAACUUCCAUUUGACACGUAAGUGUGAAUAGAAUUACGCAACUCUUAGCCAUAGUGAGGCCUUUGUCAGCUGGUGCCCCUGUAUGGUAUUAAGGAAGAGAACACAUUCUCAUAGAUUUAAUAUGUGGACUCAGAAAUCUUUGGUCUAGAAAGCAUUUGGUUCAUUUUCAGGUGACUGAUUGGGGCUAGUUCACUUCUCUUUUCCUUAUACCCUGAUUUCCAUUUGAAAAUGUGAAUAUUGGUAUUGAUCUCAUUCAUAACAUACUUCAGACUGUACAGAUGGAAGUGCUACAGAUGUAUUCUAUUUAUAUGAAAUACAUAUUCCAAGGCAAGAUUGUCUAUUAAAUAGAUUCCAAGACUGAACUUUUCUGAAUAUUUCAUUUUAUUGACAUUCUUAAAUAAUUGAACCAUGUAGAAGAGGUACAUUUAGCUGUCUUGAUGGAAACAAAAACUUGAUCCAUAGGACUGCAUCCCUUCCAGGUCCUUUGGUUUUUGCUUGGAAAAUGGCAUAGUUUAUCCUGAAGCCAGUCCUGUGUUGCAGAGUAGGCAACUCUGUAAGUGAGGCAGCUCUGCUGACUGACCAGAUUCAUGGAAGAGCUGUAUGUCAGUAUGUCUGUAUGUCUGACCUGUGAUCGGAUUGCUCCGAUCGCACUCGUAGUUUUGUAGUUGCAUUUGUUUGCUGUUGUGAAGUGCACCUUUGGCUGCUGUGAAGGUGAGGGGUGGAGGAGGGGUUGUCCCAUCAGUUUACAUUAAUUGGUGAUUUUGCCCAGCAGUUUUCCCCUCCCUACCCUUGUCUCUUGGGGUGGCACCCUAUGGGUGGUGUUGGCUGCAGAGCAGUAGCCCCGUGCUAAUGUGCAAGUCUUUAUGCAGGCAUCAGGCACUGAAGUAUGCUAUCACUGAACACUCUCAACAGAGAAAGAUUUUUUUACCUAAUUAUGUCUCUUCCUGAAUUUGUGGGCACGUCCGUCUAGCUAAUAAAACCCUCAAAGAAUGGCUCUUUUAUAUCCUGACAAAAAGGCUUUUUGAUUGAUCUAUAUUAAGUAAUAUUGAUUAGUUUGUUGUAAACAUGUACACAUGUCAAAAACAUUGGUUUGGUUUGUUGUUAUUUUAUUGUUUGGAUUUUUGUUUUUUGGUUGGUUUUUUCGACAUCUAAAUUUCUCAUUAUCAUUUUUGACUACGUGUUCAUUCUUUCCAGACACAGGUACUGUUUUUAUAGACAUUGAUUAAUCUUCCUUUUUCUCUGAUAAAAAAAUCAUAUUAAUAUGACAUCCUGCAGAUCUCUGAUGUUUACAUAGUAUCAGCACAGGGAAAUACUACUUUCAGUUUGAUACAUAAAGCCCUCCUUGUCUCUUGUGUCUUUUGUCUGUAGGCUAUUAUGCAUGUGACUAAAGCCAUGCAUGACUUGAGCAAAUGUUUGAAUAGGGUUCUUGUGUAGUAGCACUGUAUAAGCCAUUAGGCAUACUCUCUUUAAUUUGGUGACGAAAACAUUAUGGUACAUUUGGUCACACAAAGUAGAGUGAAAUUGCUUUUGUGGCAGCAGAAUAAACAGCAUUCUAAUCUGUGGGGGAUUUUUAUUGUGCACGUGUGUGUGCGCUGCAUACUUGUGGCAAAAUUAUCAAGCAGGACUGAACAUGAAAAGUGUUAAAGUUAUUGGAGUUGUGGAGUGAAAGCUGGGCUGAAGAGAGAAAAAAUGUAUUGCUUAUUUCAGUCUGAAAUUUGAAAUCAACAUUAUUCUGUCAUAUUUGUGAUUUGAGCUUGAAAUCUGUUAAUUGACAUGUGAGGCAGUUGCUAACCAUCUUUGUCAUUUAUAAAGCCUUUUGUAAGAGCUCUGUUUUUCUUUCUUCUCUAUAUGUGGUGAAUACUGGAGUAGGGACUUGAAUUUUUGCUGUGGGAAUGUGAAAAACACGGGAAGCUGCUCUCUGCCAAGUUAUUUCCCCAAGGAUCUGCUUUACAUACUGACAAUCAAUGACCUGUCAGGUGUAGUUAUGCACCAUAGCAAUGAUAUGAGGUCAAUCAGAUGAAACCAAGAUAUUUUGAAGUCAUCUGUUGAUUUUCUGUGCUGCAAGACCAGCAUAUGAAUCAUGUCAACAACUGUACUCCAUGUUUCAAAAACAUAUAAACACAUUACAGUUCUUCGAACAGAAGAAGCAGAGAUCUGGAUCCCCAGCGGAGUGCUGGAAAAAGAACACAAAGCAGCAAGAAAGUACCAGAUCCAGUUGUCUUUCUCCUUCCUGCUGCUCCAGAGCCUUGCUGUAGGAGCAGAUUGGGCUGCUCCAAACCAGCUGGCAGAGAAAAGCACCCAUCUGACAGGCGGGCAGAGCGGCAAAGGGGAGGUGGAGGCUGGAGAGGACCACGCUCUCCAGGGGAGAUGCAGGUUUUUGGCAAGCUGCAGCCUGCCCUCAGAGUGCACCUGCCCACAGUGAGGGGCUGAGGGCUUCUCUGCCAGGGGACAGCCUGCAGCAGGGCAGAAAGAGCUGGGGGCCACGUCCUCAGCUGCUGCCUGCUCCAGUGGGACAGUGAAAGAUGGUCCUGCUUUCAUCAGGUGAGGAACUGAGCCUGAAGGCUAAUUAAGUGAUUUUUUUCCCUAAUCCAGCUUUUCAGAGGGUGAAAUUAGCCUGACUCCCCAGACGAAUGUAGUGCCAAGACCAACUACUCACAUCUCCAGAGAUCAAGCCCCUACUGGAGCCUUUUCCUCUGUUCCCAGGGCUGCUCAGUGCCCUGUGGCCUGCAGCUUCAUGCUACUCCACUAUUUCCCUCCCAAAACCCCUGGUAGAGUGGAGUUGUGCUGGCUGCCCAUCUCCCUGCAGAAGACACUGUGUGCUGCCUCCCAGAGCUGUGUCUCGUCCAGGUGCCAUAGCCUAAAUGACAGCUUGUGGGGCCACCGGGAUAAAAUGCUGCCCAAACAGCCUAUCAAGGGACCCUGUUUUACCCAUUUGGUCCUCAAUGGGGAAUAAAUGUUCAUUGAAAUGACAAAAGAGGUGCCAUCCUAUUGCCUGAAACAGAUGGGAAACCUACUUGCAUUGGCCAUAUUGCUUUUGAGCAGUUCCUAGUUCAUCCACAUAAAAACGUCUGUCCCGUGAGCCUUAGACCUCCUGUGGGCAGCUCAUUUUGGGCUACUGCACAAAUCUGUCUGGUGAAGACUUGCUGGAUUCAUCUGGCUUGCUUCUAAAACUGAGCAAAGGAGUUAUUUAUUUGUGGCUGUUCUCUCCAUUUGUGUGGUGCAGGGUUGGUUACCCAGGAAGGGAUGCCUGCCACACUCUAAAAUGGGGACGAUUAUCUGUGUGCAGCUUGAGAAUAAAGCUGUGUCACAGCACCUGUUCAAUCCCAUUACAAUGAAAGCUGGCAUGGCAGGAGUAGUGCUGGAGCAGAGUAUACAAGAUGCAGUUUUAUUUUAAGUGAAAUUCAAAACAUACCAUUAGGAAUAAACCUUUCCUUCAUAAAGCAGUAGCAGGGAAGGCAGAAUAUAUUUUCCAAGCAAGUUGCAAAAGUUCAGGAAAUUCUUGGCUCACUGUUUGUUCUAAGUGAUAUAAAGGAGAAGAAAGAGACUCUAUCCAGCACAAAUCAUAUUUUUAAGAAUUUCCCAAUAUUGCUUCCUGUCUUUGUGCUUGUGAAGCAGAUUGUAUAUAGAAAUAAAACAGAUUUAUUUUAUCUCUUCAGAAGAAAGUGUCUGCUAUAUAUUUUGCUGGCUCUCGUUCGUUCAUUCAUUGAAAAACAGCAGGAAAAGGGCUUUUGUGUUAAGAACAGUCAAGGUCAGGGAUUUUUGUUUUUGAUGUUGGCUGCCAGUAGCUUGCUUUCUCUGACUGCUGUUUCCAAGUCAGUUUGGAUAGCAAUCUAGUUGCUAGCUUACAGGGAGAUAUUUCACAGCUACAGGUCACCUACAGUGAGUGCAAACUAGAAGGAGAUUUGAGGACCAAAUUAAAUGUCCUCUACUCAGCUCCUAUUCAUGCCAAUAUUGAAUUAAGUUUAUCAAGCCUACUAAAGGACACGCAAAUUCGUGACUCUGAUGCUGCAAACUCUUUAUACACACUCACCUUUAGAAACUGUGUGAGCAAAAUCUUUACCUGUGUGACUUGGUUUACAGAAUCAGAGCCUUUCACACAAAAAUUCACUAUAGCAAAUACUUAUUUUCAUGGUAAGCAAUUACAAAUGGGGAGCAAUGUUGUGAUUUUAUAGAAAGAGAACUAAUGUUCUGCAAGUGGACAUUUUUAAAGCCAUAGUACCUUGAAAUUGCACAGUCAAUCACCCUUAUUCAUUCACAGUCAAACUACUGUAUUUCUAAAGUCUCAAGUUAAUGGUUAAAGGCAAAUAAAAGAAAUCAUUAGACAAAAUAUCUACGUCGUAAAAUGUCAGUAUGAAAGUCUGAGCACUUCUUGUUCAGCUUAUUUUUCUGGCAGCAGGACAUUUGGGUGGCAGGCAGGCACAAAGUAGAAAUAUGCUGUAGUUUAUUCUGUGGUCUGUAAAGCCAAGCCACUGUGCAAGAGUGCAGCUUAAUCAUACAUCCACUGACAACUCCUGUUUAAGCCGCUCACAAGCAGCUUGUGACACACAGAGAGAUUGCACUUUUCCCUCACCUUUUAAUGUAAUUCCAAAGAUUGUGUGAAUAUAUCAAUUAGAGGUUUCCAGUAAUGGAAAGCAGGUUUCAAAUGCUGGAGAAGUACAAUAAAUCACCAGCCAUAUGGGCUUUUGUCAUUAAAAGAAAGCCAUAAUAAGACAAAAGCUGAAGUAAGUUAAAACAGCUGAAGAGUGAUUUUAGGCGAUCUUAUGCAAAACUCACUACCUUGGUUUAUUCACAGGAAACUUCUUUAGAAGACUGAAAGAAAAUCUUUUUCAACUCUUUAUUUCUUGGCUACAUCAGAAAGAAAGCAAAGUAAAAGCCAUCUCAGUGGCGCUUUUCAUGCUCUGCUUACUUUGUUUUCACAUGAGAUCCUGUCUGCUACCUUUGUUUUUUUUUCCCCUGCUUUUUAGAGGGCUCCUUGUGCAAAACAAUGAAGAGUCCUGAUAACAACAGGCAGUUGCUCCAAGGCCUAGUUGUUCAGCAGGAUUCACUCCAAGAAAUUGAGAGGGGUGUGUUGAGUCUUUUUUCUGUCACCAGCCUUUACAGUUAGCGGACCAGAUGGCAUGAGAGGGGCGCAAAAAAUAACGACAAUAAAUAAUACUACAACUUACAGCGUGGACCAAGCUCAGUUACUUCCACUUCAUCUCACUGUUUGGAAGUGCCUUUGAUGUAUAAAAGCACCCCCUAAGAUAAUGAAAUGCGGUGGCAGCUGGCUAAUGGCUGGGAAAGUGCAAACCCUGCAUUGAACUCUUCCCACCAGGCUAUUCAGCACCCAGGCAAUGUCAGUCUCAAGGAGACAAGGAGACGGGAAGAAACAGAGGCUUGUUGCUGUGCAGCAUUUGGGCUUCUGGGCAGGCUGCUCUAGGUGGGGUGUUAUUUGCCUUGCUGAAUAGAAGUGAUGUGCCCAAGGCAAAGGGAAAGUUUUUACUGUCUUAACACAUUAACCUUGCAGACUCUGUCCUAGAAAUGUUAAAUGAAGCCACAGGGUCACGCUGCUUGAGGAGACACUGCUGUUGGGAAAACUUUAAAAUGGACUUUUUUUUUUACACUACAAUCCCAUCAGUCAUGCAAUCAGGGUUAGUUUCCUUUCAGGCAGGACUAUCUCGUGGCUCGCUUCCAUGGGCAAUAAAAAAAUAAACACAUCCAGACUUUUCUCUCAGCUGCUCCAGACCUAAAUGUGGGCCAGGGUAAAUGACAAAGAUCUAAAAUAGACAACAGACACAGGCAAAUAUGAAAACCCUAUUUGUUCAGGAGCUUUAAAACAGUACGGGAUUUAUUCCUCCAACACAAAGAAAAAUAUCUGGUCUCUCCAAUAAAUGAUCCUGUGUUAAUAAUAUUAUAAUGGGAUCUGACCCUGCAAACACUUGAUUAGAUGUGCACUCAUCUUCAUGCAUUAGUUCUGCUAACCUCUGUGCUGGCAUUUGUCACCAGAAAGUUCAGAAUAAACACAGACUUUGCAAGUUUGGGGCUUGCCCCUGCCAAAUGUGGCAGCAGCCUGUAUCAGCAGGUGCAACAGGAGAUUUGCCUAAGGGCCUCAUUAUAAAAAGAGUGAUUGGUGAAAGUAAAAUUUACCAGAAUAAAUAUUUUGGCAAAAAAAAAGAGAUAAUUUCUUUUUUAAUAUUUGGCAGAAAUUUGUUGUUUUUUAUAGUUAAAUUUUGGAACAUUCAUACACAAUUAUAAAAUUCAACUUGCUGACAGUCUAGAUACAAGAAAUGGAAAUAUUCUGAAAUGUUAUUGCUGUGGGUGUUAUGAUCUUGCAGGCAAGGGUCUUGUAUGACCAAAUGAUCCCAUUGUGACACCUUAAUCCUCAAUAUAUAAGUCCACAAUUGUUUGAGAGCUGUAGUAGCCUCCAAAUCUCAUUGGUUUAGGAGAAUGCAGAAGGUUAAAAAAGGGGACAUUUUGCAUACUUUGUCCAAGAUGAAUGUCCAGAUCCACAGUCAGGGCAAGGUUGCUGAAUCUCAGUGUGUAUUUUGAUUGACUGUGUGCCAAAGGUGCAUUAAUUAUUGUCACUUGGGCUAAUGUAUACCGUAUCCUGCAGUACAGCUCCAAUAUAUUUCCUAAGAGUAAACAUAAGUCAAUGUCACCAAAAUUUUUCAGUGCCAAGAGGGAAUAGCUCUGUUUAAUGCUAAGGCUAUGGCAGCAAACUUUUGAUCGGUUGCUUAUGAUCCCUUACCCUCACAAAGUGUACUUGCUUUUUAGGAAAAGUCUUUUUUGUUUCAUUAGGUUGGCACUCACCAAGAAAUCCCAGCCGGGGUAGAAAUAUUGGCUCCAUCAGUCAGCCUUCGACCGUUCCCUGCACAGAGCUUGUUUUCUAAAUCUGGUUUUGAGAGCUGUUUGCUUGACAGACUGCUUUGCAGACUUAUGAUUGUUUGUUUCUGGCUCGUUUUGAUUGCUCUGAUAAUCUCUAGACUUUGGCCUUGAGGCUAUCAUUUAUUUUGUACUUUUAUUGGUGUUUGUUAUUUGAAACUUUGUUUCCAGUAGAUUUGCUGCCCCUUUCUAAACCACUUCUCUGAUUAAAUUUUGUUGAAGAAGUUGGUGGAUUACUUUACCUAUUUUCCCCUCUCGUUUUUCCUCCUCCUAAUCGUUCAGUUGAGAACUCACCUGCCUUUUGUUUGUGCCUGCCUUUGUGAUUUAUUUUCAGAUUAGAAGGAGCAGCUGCACAGCUUUUACUUUUAUUAGUUCUUCUCAGUGAGUCAGGCAAAAUAUUAACCACCCAUGAAUUGCUCUUCCAAAACCUCAAGUGAAUUACAAUAGAACUUUUGCCUCCAUAGUUCAGAAGAAAAUAUUUUUAUUCUUUGACUUUCACUUCACCCAGGCCUUUUGUGUGUGUUUGUGUGUGUCUGUAUGUGUGUGUAGAUAUAUCUGCUGUGAGGAUAAAAUAAGUUAAUGAACCAGAACAUAUGAAACUAGCUUGAGCAUUCUGACAAUUUGCCUGACAUUAUUUUUGCAGGAGUUAAAACAUGAAAUUUAAGUUCAUAUUUAGGCCUUAUCCCUUCAAUGCAUGGAGUUCAGUGGCAUGAAUACACACAUCCAGUGCUUCCUUAUUUCCAAGGCAUUGUGGUUCUUAGUUCUCUGAUCCUUUACAUUUUAUCUACCACAAAAUAUAGUUUUGUCCUUUUUAUAUCUGUUAAUAAGUGGUUUCUGUCUUGAUUUUGGUGAUUUACAAAGUUUUACUAUUUCUCAGUUUUUGAGCAUUCUGCCUGUUUACAUUUACUUGCUUUGUCAACUCCUUAAUUCUAAUGGGUAGAUAGCUUUCCUACAACUUACAUAUCUUACUUACUUACAUAACUUACAUCUCUGAUGUGGAACUUUCUUCCUAUUAAUACAUUUUAAAUACAUGUUUUAAUUUUCUUUAGGGAUCAGGGGUCAGUGGGAAGGAGGAUGAAGGGGGUGGAAUAUGCCACAGAUUAAGCUAAGUUCCCCAAAGACCAAUUAUUCAUAGAAAAUUUCAGUAAUUUUGCAAAGUUUAGGUUACUGCAUUUCAGUUUCUCAUACUUGAGGAUUCAAGACCUUGGCCACACAAGAAGCUGAAUGGCCACAGAGACAGCUAAAGCCAAUGGUCUCUGCAAGCAUUUUGUUUUUAUGGGAGUAGGACAGGAUGUUCAAAACAGGAGCUUCAGUGGGGAAAGGUUUAAGUGCAGAACUCUGCUGACAUAAAAGCUUAAGUGCCUAAAAUAUGCAAUCCCAAAUUAACUGAUGCAUAGUUAGUGGGUUAUUUUAAAAAUGUAUUUCUUGGCAAAGAAUGGUAACAGUAUAAUAUGCUAGCCAAUACUGAAUUUGUCCAUGUCUGUGUCCACAUAAUGUGUACUGAGACUGAUAAAGAAGACAAAUAAACUGGUUUUCUUGUUAACCAUUGCUCUUUCUUUGUAUGCCAUUUUGAAAGGUUAACUACCCCUUGGUGGGACCCUGGUUAUUGAAUUUUGUUUUUCUAAUUAUUACAUUUCAUAACAGACACUAGAUGUGUUCAUCUCCUGGGUGAUUCCUGAUAAAUUAAUCCAGGUAACAAUUUCUCUUGUUUCUUCACAUUUCAGCUACCAGCAGUGGAUUAACUUUGCUCCUUUUUUUUCUUGCAGUGAGAGCUUAGGUUGUCCCCUCAGUUCUACACAGGCUUUUUUAGCUUCAUUUAUGUCCAGUUAUGUAUAAAAGUAUUUGCCUCACAUUUUUCAAUCGCACGUUAUCAUUCAUAAUUCUCCUGAGUCACACUUUCUAACCUUCUGACUGAAUGGCUCUCUGGAGUCAUUUCCAUUGUUCAUAUUUUGUUAAUUUUUUGCCAUUUCCAUUUGUGCUUUUAUUAGUUCUCUCUACCAUCCUUACCUUUUAUAAUGUUUUAAUUGAUUCUUUUGACAUUUGGGGUUGCUGAAGUGAUGCACAGGGUGGGUCCAACUCUCUUUUUAGGGUGAUGUAGUGAUGAGCUCUUGAGGUCUGAACUGCAGUCUGAGCUCAUUCUAAGCUCCAUUUCCUUCUCUUACAGGUUUCUUUGAGCCACUGAAGCUUAUUCAGUUAUAUUAAUAACUGAAUUAUAAGCAUAGCUGGUUGCUUUGCCCUUUGUGUGCUUUUGAUGCUAAUUCUACUUCAGGAUCUUGUGUUCUUUUAAUGUGAAUAUCUUUAAUAAAAUUAUUUUCCUAAGAUGUGCACAGACUUGCUUCAAUGGAUCAUUCUCUACAUGCAUUUUGAGUUUUGAUUCCCAGCCUGAGUCUGUCAGAGGUGCAUGGCAUUUGAUAUGAUUUGGUUUUCUGUCUCUCAGGGGUGAGACUCAACAUCCACUAUAGGAUUGACUUCAAAGUGCAGCCUCUAUGAAAAUUUAGCCUGCUUACACCAGGAGAUCUGUGAGUCACUAUAUUACAGUAUCUCAUCUGCUGGAGUCUACAAAGCAUUUCAUAGUCUUCUUCACAAACAACAUUUAGGUGGUUCAUUACAUUUAGGUGCUUCAUUUCCAUAGGAAAAAAAUCUGAAAAACAUAACUUUUAGUGUCCAUUAAAAAAGUCCAAUCCAAACCCAAACCAGGAACACAGAAUGUUUUUUUGUUUUUGUUUUUGUUUUUUAAUUUUACUUUUAAAAUUAUCCUGAAUGCCUUUUUACACCAGUGUGGUAGUGUACCUUUGUGCCACCAAGUCAGAGUUUCUUCUGGAAAUAUGUGCCUCUGAGCUGUAAGUGCUCCAGAGUAGACCUACCCUCUCCAAAAGAAGUCUUCAAGAGUACUUCUGUUACUCUAAUCCUCUCAAAGUGAGUUGCUUAAAAUCUCUGGACUCUGACAGAUGAAAUGUGAUUGACUGGAAAACACUCUGUUCUGCAAGGAACUCCAAGCACAGGUCUUUGAAAGGACUUAUUACCAGUAAUAUCUGCACUAUCAAAGUAAGAACAAAGUAAAACUACCAGCUGUCAGCUAGGAGGAAUAAAUGAGGAAAGGAAGGAAAAACUUUGUGUGCAAUUGAUAAUUAAUCUGUAAGGUGCUGCAGACUCCACUUAGCUUUUAUAUUAUCUAGAGAGAAACAGAUGUAAUCCACCAUCAUGCAUAUUCCUCUGUUUUUCUAUCAAAAGGUUGUUGGGCCUCACCUCUUCAAAGAUUUGUGCACACAUUUAAUCUUCUGACUUUACAAAUGCUAAAAUGAAGCAUGUAAGUCGAUCUCUGUGAAAAAUAUGUGUGUUUGUUUUUUCACAUCAGCCAAAGUAAACUGCAGGAGGAAUCAGUGAAGGUUUCCAAACCAUUGUGUUUUAGAUUUGCUUGGAGGGGCUCCUGAAGUGCACCUUCCUCAGAUUUCUUCCACCUCAGAUUUCUGUUACUCCUGAGUAUCAGGAUUGUGAUUGAUACACAUGAUUUCAUUUGAGUUAUCUAAAGUGCUUUACAGUGAAUUUUUCUUUUCCAGACUAACUCAAUUUUCAAGAGGAAAAAAAAAGUUCUUGCUUGUGAAAAAAACACAGAAAACACGUUCAUUUUGGAGCAAAACUGAAUAAUCUGCUUUGAUUAAAAAAUCAAAGCGUUCUAUUACUCAGAUAAUAAUUUUCUACAGAUAUAGCUCCUGCUUAGGCAGGCUCUGCAGUACACCUUUCCCUUUCAACCCUUGUUAUUUGGUGUAUUCAUUUCAUUUAACAACAAGGAACUGAAACAUUACAAUGUGGAGUGAGGAAAGACAGCCUUUUAAUACCAUUUGGUUGUUUGCCAAACAUUUUGCAAGCAUUCCUGUUAGGACAUAUUAAGUGAGCAUAUAUACUACAUUAUAUAUAUAUACAGCAUAUUUAUAUUCUUGCAACAUGUUUAAACUUCUCAGUUAUAAAUUUCUUGUAUGUCUAGAUUCUCCUGGGAAAGCAAACCUGCACAACCUGCCCUUGUCCUUCUUCCUUGGCAAGGUUAAUGUAGCUUUUGUCAUGUUGGGGGAUCUUGAAGACAAGGUCAGCACUCCCCAGCAGCUUGCAAAUGGGUGUGUUUUAAGGAGAAAAUGGGAGAGCAAAGCUGAAUGGGCUAUGUGCGAUGAGAAGAUAGAGAAGUGAUAGUUAGAGAUCAAAGUAUGUUGAUUCAGUUGUAUAAUUUGGCCUCACUCUCAAACACAGGUUACAGUUCACCAGGGGAAAUUUUUCUGUCUGCCUGUUCUCUUCCCAAACAAAGAGGAGAGAAGAGGAAUGGAAAAAGGAAGCAAUUCUCACAUCUAACCAAUUGUUAUAAUUGAACCAAGCAGUAGCAGAGCUCAAGUUGGAAGUACUUAGACUGUUGCUGAGUAACAUGUUCACUGCUUGUUUCAUUUGGUUUUGAUUUAGUUUUAGUUUAGUUUUUGGUUUGAUUUGGGGUUUUUUUUAGGUUUUGUUUUGUUUUGUUUUUUCCUCUUCCUUUGGAAAGGGUUGUAGCAAACUCUAUUAAAUAUGAAUGCGUAUCACAUAAUGAAUUUUGUAUUUUUCUCAUCAAACACGAGGCAAGUUCUUCAAGAUGCUUUUCUUGGAAAAAAAUGACACAGUGCCAGCGGGAAUAUUUAUAUGAUCCUUUAUGUUCUCCAGCUUGAGGUAUGUGAACAGUGAAAUUGCAGCUGAGAAAUGCUGCAAUAUUCCAGUAUAUACUUCAUUUCUUCCUCAGCGAGUUCCUACAUGCACUAAUUACUACAGAAGGGAGAUUUCCUUCUCAUGUCUUUGACCCAAACUUAAAAAAAAAACAAAACAGAAAAACCAAAAAAGGCAAGCAAAAAAACCUUCCACAUUAUGUUCAAAACCAAAGGAAGUAAGUUGUCAGUAGGGACACUGGUGCGUACUCUCUUAAAAUCCUGUCCCUACUGAAGUCUCUCUGAAAUUUUUGAUGCUAUAAAGCAUGGCCAGAUUUUCUUCACUGGUGAUGGAAACUUGGCUUUCUGUUUCUUUGGGAAGUCAGUUUUAUUCCUUGCUUUAUCUCAUCAAGGGGCUUCUAGAGCAGUGGCAUGCAGCAGCGUUACCCACCAUUUUCUGAUGGUGUGUACCCACAGGCCUGGUGAUGUUUUGUCCCAUAACAUUCCCAGCAACUGGCUGAGGAGCAUUGCCCUAAGAGAGAGCUGUGCUGCAGGCAUUGACCCUGCAGGCACUGCUUACAGCAAGCACCAGGCAGCAGGGAAUUCAGCAGUGCUCCUCUCAGAGCUUUUCCUUUGCCAAGAUAUUGCCUGUCCUCUUGCAGUACCGCCACAUUGCAGGCUCACCCUGGGUCACUGUGCAAACAACAUUCCCAAACAACAGAUAAUUUUGUUCAUUGGCCCAAAUCUGAAAAGCUAGAGGGGAAGUGAGGAGUCCAGCAGAAGGGAAGCUACUCAAAUUUUAAACUAAAUUCAGAACGUAAAAUUAAAUCUGCAGGAUCUUCAUAAUUUUUUCCUUGUCAGCUGGAUUGUUUUAAAGCAUAAAAAAAUGUUCUUUUGAAAGGAGCAGUAAAAAUUUCAUUCAGGAAAAUAUUGAAAUAAACACCUUGUUCAAACAAGCCUUUCAGUUUUAAAAAUAUCGUAAUAGUAAUGUCAAUAGUCACUAUUUAAAUGUUUUCCUGUUAAUUUUUGAUCUCUUCCCCUGUCAGAUUGGUAAAAUACAGAUUUAUUUCUUUCCCUUAAAUUGCCUGGGAAUUGUGGGGAGACAGAAUCUUUUUAAAAAGCUCUGUUUGCAAAAAAAAAUGGGCCAAAUAAUGUGUUUUUAUGCCUAUUGGUUUACAUCCUUCCUGGGUAAGCUGUAAAAAUAUCUGCUUUUUUUCCACAGAAAUUUCUAUUCUGUGGGAUGUACUCCAAUCUCCUUUAUCCAAAAUACUAUUACUAAUACCUUUAUCUAAAAAUGCUAAUUUAAUUUCUGUGAAUCUUUCUUCCUGCCAUAAUGGAAAGCCCCUCAAGUAUAUUACCAUGCCUGCUACUGCUUGCUGUAUCAGUUCCACAUGCUAAUGUGAUUUCCUGUAAGAGGAGAUGAAUAUAUUUGUUCUGCAGUGAAAAAAAAAAAAAA